CAGUCGCCGCGGUAAUACCGAGGGUGCGAGCGUUAAUCGGAUUUACUGGGCGUAAAGCGUGCGUAGGCGGCUAAUUGAGUCGGAUGUGAAAUCCCCGAGCUUAACUUGGGAAUUGCAUUCGAUACUGGUUAGCUAGAGUGUGGGAGAGGAUGGUAGAAUUCCAGGUGUAGCGGUGAAAUGCGUAGAGAUCUGGAGGAAUACCGAUGGCGAAGGCAGCCAUCUGGCCUAACACUGACGCUGAGGUACGAAAGCAUGGGGAGCAAACAGGAUUAGAUACCCCGGUAGUCCCUGUCUCUUAUAC
rnacentral:rRNA from 1 species